UUAAAUUGAAGAGUUUGAUCAUGGCUCAGAUUGAACGCUGGCGGCAGGCCUAACACAUGCAAGUCGAACGGUAACAGGAAGAAGCUUGCUUCUUUGCUGACGAGUGGCGGACGGGUGAGUAAUGUCUGGGAAACUGCCUGAUGGAGGGGGAUAACUACUGGAAACGGUAGCUAAUACCGCAUAACGUCGCAAGACCAAAGAGGGGGACCUUCGGGCCUCUUGCCAUCGGAUGUGCCCAGAUGGGAUUAGCUAGUAGGUGGGGUAACGGCUCACCUAGGCGACGAUCCCUAGCUGGUCUGAGAGGAUGACCAGCCACACUGGAACUGAGACACGGUCCAGACUCCUACGGGAGGCAGCAGUGGGGAAUAUUGCACAAUGGGCGCAAGCCUGAUGCAGCCAUGCCGCGUGUAUGAAGAAGGCCUUCGGGUUGUAAAGUACUUUCAGCGGGGAGGAAGGGAGUAAAGUUAAUACCUUUGCUCAUUGACGUUACCCGCAGAAGAAGCGCCGGCUAACUCCGUGCCAGCAGCCGCGGUAAUACGGAGGGUGCAAGCGUUAAUCGGAAUUACUGGGCGUAAAGCGCACGCAGGCGGUUUGUUAAGUCAGAUGUGAAAUCCCCGGGCUCAACCUGGGAACUGCAUCUGAUACUGGCAAGCUUGAGUCUCGUAGAGGGGGGUAGAAUUCCAGGUGUAGCGGUGAAAUGCGUAGAGAUCUGGAGGAAUACCGGUGGCGAAGGCGGCCCCCUGGACGAAGACUGACGCUCAGGUGCGAAAGCGUGGGGAGCAAACAGGAUUAGAUACCCUGGUAGUCCACGCCGUAAACGAUGUCGACUUGGAGGUUGUGCCCUUGAGGCGUGGCUUCCGGAGCUAACGCGUUAAGUCGACCGCCUGGGGAGUACGGCCGCAAGGUUAAAACUCAAAUGAAUUGACGGGGGCCCGCACAAGCGGUGGAGCAUGUGGUUUAAUUCGAUGCAACGCGAAGAACCUUACCUGGUCUUGACAUCCACGGAAGUUUUCAGAGAUGAGAAUGUGCCUUCGGGAACCGUGAGACAGGUGCUGCAUGGCUGUCGUCAGCUCGUGUUGUGAAAUGUUGGGUUAAGUCCCGCAACGAGCGCAACCCUUAUCCUUUGUUGCCAGCGGUCCGGCCGGGAACUCAAAGGAGACUGCCAGUGAUAAACUGGAGGAAGGUGGGGAUGACGUCAAGUCAUCAUGGCCCUUACGACCAGGGCUACACACGUGCUACAAUGGCGCAUACAAAGAGAAGCGACCUCGCGAGAGCAAGCGGACCUCAUAAAGUGCGUCGUAGUCCGGAUUGGAGUCUGCAACUCGACUCCAUGAAGUCGGAAUCGCUAGUAAUCGUGGAUCAGAAUGCCACGGUGAAUACGUUCCCGGGCCUUGUACACACCGCCCGUCACACCAUGGGAGUGGGUUGCAAAAGAAGUAGGUAGCUUAACCUUCGGGAGGGCGCUUACCACUUUGUGAUUCAUGACUGGGGUGAAGUCGUAACAAGGUAACCGUAGGGGAACCUGCGGUUGGAUCACCUCCUUACCUUAAAGAAGC
rnacentral:rRNA from 1 species